GGGAUUGCCCUAGUAACGGCGAGUGAAGCGGCAACAGCUCAAAUUUGAAAUCUGGCUCUUUCAGGGUCCGAGUUGUAAUUUGCAGAGGGCGCUUUGGCUUUGGCAGCGGUCCAAGUUCCUUGGAACAGGACGUCACAGAGGGUGAGAAUCCCGUACGUGGUCGCUAGCUAUUGCCGUGUAAAGCCCCUUCGACGAGUCGAGUUGUUUGGGAAUGCAGCUCUAAAUGGGAGGUAAAUUUCUUCUAAAGCUAAAUACUGGCCAGAGACCGAUAGCGCACAAGUAGAGUGAUCGAAAGAUGAAAAGCACUUUGGAAAGAGAGUCAAACAGCACGUGAAAUUGUUGAAAGGGAAGCGCUUGCAGCCAGACUUGCUUGCAGUUGCUCAUCCGGACUUUUGUCCGGUGCACUCUUCUGCAGGCAGGCCAGCAUCAGUUUGGGCGGUGGGAUAAAGGUCUCUGUCACGUACCUCUCUUCGGGGAGGCCUUAUAGGGGAGACGACAUACCACCAGCCUGGACUGAGGUCCGCGCAUUUGCUAGGAUGCUGGCGUAAUGGCUGUAAGCGGCCCGUCUUGAAACACGGACCAAGGAGUCUAACAUCUAUGCGAGUGUUUGGGUGUCAAGCCCGAACGCGUAAUGAAAGUGAACGGAGGUGGGAACCCGCAAGGGUGCACCAUCGACCGAUCCUGAUGUCUUCGGAAGGAUUUGAGUAAGAGCAUGGCUGUUGGGACCCGAAAGAUGGUGAACUAUGCUUGAAUAGGGUGAAGCCAGAGGAAACUCUGGUGGAGGCUCGCAGCGGUUCUGACGUGCAAAUCGAUCGUCAAAUUUGGGCAUAGGGGCGAAAGACUAAUC
rnacentral:rRNA from 1 species